AGCAAACAGGACACGCAUAUCGAGUGCUAUAAAGAUAACCUGCAAUCACCCAAGGCCAAGGUGGCUUAGAACAUACCACAAAUAUACAAAUGUAAUGUCCGAAGUCAAUCUAUAGUGAAUGACACCGCGCCAUAUUGCUCAUGCAUUGAACAGUUCAAGGCCAGGCUUUACCAGUUCAGUUUUGCAUUAGAAUGCUAGUAAAAUCACAGAGGCAUUUAAGCAAACACGUGAAGAGCAAUCACGGAGUCUUCCGUAUGUGCGGCCUCCAAGAUUAGCAGGACCGCGACGCUGCCCACGACCGAAGGUUCCCUUAAUACCUUCGCCAUAGCUGGCUGCUCCGCCUGCCGCGAACUUGCCGGCGGCGUGGGCGCUGCGGAGCGCUUUCGGGAGGGUGGCGGCGCGCAGUCGUCAGCGUGGUGUAACAUGGGCCGCUUGCGGGGUAGAGGAACAGCCUGCACGCGGUGUGGUGGCCGGAGGCAUGGGGGGCGGCGGAACGGACGCGAGCAUCAUGUGUCGGACGUGGGUAGAAGAUGGAGUUUUACGGCUCAACACAGCAAAUGCGCAUGGCGCAGAGAGGGAUGGCGGGGAAUAUGCCAGGGAUGGGAAGAUAUGCCCUGCGGCUGCGCUGCGACCAGGAAGGAGCAGCGAUGAUUCAAGACUGGCCCAUUCACAUUUGUGAUUCAGAUAUGGUUUUUUUUCUAGAAUACUCCCUCCGUCCUGAUUUUCCAGGCGUCUUGUUCAAACGACGCUGUCCAGCUUUUGGAGGCGCGGUUCCUCUUUU
rnacentral:lncRNA from 1 species